CGCGUAGGCGGGAUGGCAAGUCGGUCGUGAAAUCCUUCGGCUCAACCGAAGAACGUCGGCCGAUACUGCCGUUCUUGAGGGAUGCAGAGGAGACUGGAAUUCCCGGUGUAGCGGUGAAAUGUGUAGAGAUCGGGAGGAACACCGGUGGCGAAGGCGGGUCUCUGGGCAUCUCCUGACGCUGAGGCGCGAAAGCGUGGGGAGCAAACGGGAUUAGAUACCCCGGUAGUCCACGCCAUAAACGAUGACGACUAGGUGUGGGGUGGUUCAGUCCACUCCGUGCCGCAGCUAAUGCAUUAAGUCGUCCGCCUGGGGAGUACGGCCGCAAGGUUGAA
rnacentral:rRNA from 1 species